rnacentral:rRNA from 1 species
CAGUAGCCACGGGAAUACGUAGGUGGCAAGCGCUGUCCGGAAUUAUUGGGCGUAAAGCGCGCGCAGGUGGUUUAAUAAGUCUGAUGUGAAAGCCCACGGCUCAACCGGGGAGGGUCAUUGGAAACUGGGAAACUUGAGUGCAGAAGAGGAGAGUGGAAUUCCACGUGUAGCGGUGAAAUGCGUAGAGAUGUGGAGGAACACCAGUGGCGAAGGCGACUCUCUGGUCUGUAACUGACACUGAGGCGCGAAAGCGUGGGGAGCAAACAGGAUUAGAUACCCCUGUAGUCCCUGUCUCUUAUAC